GACGAACGCUGGCGGCGUGCCUAAUACAUGCAAGUAGAACGCACAGUUUAUACCGUAGCUUGCUACACCAUAGACUGUGAGUUGCGAACGGGUGAGUAACGCGUAGGUAACCUGCCUGGUAGCGGGGGAUAACUAUUGGAAACGAUAGCUAAUACCGCAUAAUAUUAAUUAUUGCAUGAUAAUUAAUGGAAAGGUGCAAUUGCACCACUACCAGAUGGACCUGCGUUGUAUUAGCUAGUAGGUGAGGUAACGGCUCACCUAGGCGACGAUACAUAGCCGACCUGAGAGGGUGAUCGGCCACACUGGGACUGAGACACGGCCCAGACUCCUACGGGAGGCAGCAGUAGGGAAUCUUCGGCAAUGGACGAAAGUCUGACCGAGCAACGCCGCGUGAGUGAAGAAGGUUUUCGGAUCGUAAAGCUCUGUUGUAAGAGAAGAACGGGUGUGAGAGUGGAAAGUUCACACUGUGACGGUAUCUUACCAGAAAGGGACGGCUAACUACGUG
rnacentral:rRNA from 1 species